rnacentral:lncRNA from 1 species
UAAAUAAUUUACAAGUAAUAAUUUCAACAGUCUUGCAACACAAACAAGUCACUGAUCGUGUUUAGAGGAGCUUUGUUCUAAUUCUAUUUUGAAUUGCUACCUCACCGGGCUGUAGCCAGUUCUGUAAUCCUUUAUAUACCUGUAACACCGUCGUACUUGGAAUCCAUAGUUCCAAAUCUCGAAAGAAUCAUCAAUUUUAAUCGCAAGGAAUAAAGGAAUCACAAAAUGGUGCGUAAACUAUUUCAUUCAUUUGUAUAUCGUUUUAAUUGCUCAUUUAUAUUAGGGUUUAGGGCUGUUAUUCCGACAUGUUCGCUUUCAUUCAGAUGUUUCGACAUGUUUAUUAUUAAUUUUUUUUUUUCACGAUCUGAAAACAUAAUUGAUGUAUUGGAUUGGAUUGAAUAAUUUAUUAAUCCAUGGGGAUCUUUAGAAAUUUACAGUAUAAUGUACAAAUUGGUAGGGUUACGUGAGAUCAAUUUUUAUUCGUUGUUCGCUUCUGUACUGAAAGGGGUUUGUGAUUGUUUCUAUCAUUUUUAUUUUUAUUAUUUUUAUGUAAUAGAGAAAAAGAUAUCUAUUUUGGGCAUUUCAUUAAAUGUUUAAAUUGAUUUAUAUAACGGUCAUUGAUGUAAUCUGAUUAAGUUAGCACGAAGCAGGAAACUUUUCUUUAUUGAAUAUAUUGAAAAUAAUCUUUAUUUUUUCAUUGCAGGUUCUUAUAUGUAUAGAUAUGUAAUUUCUGUAAAAUAUCUUUAUUUUUAACUAUAGUUAUAUAAGUGAGCUCUAAUUAUUAAUUAUUUGACUAUUUCUGCAAUUCUUGUAUUCAUAGCGAUAAGAUGUAAUUUUUUAUUUUUUAUUAUUAUUUUUACCGAUGCUUAUGAUUUGCUUUAAUGUUUGAUAUUUCAAGCAACUGAAGUAAAUUUAUUUGGUUUCUGUAGGCAUUGCUUGCUGCGGCAAGAGCAGAUAAUUUUUACUGUCCUCCAGAAUGGGAGCCAAAAAAGGUAUGCUUAAGCCACAUAUCAACGGUUUUAUCUUUGCAGUGAGUUUUUUGUUUUGGGGCUUCUUACACUGCUCUUGUUUGCAGGGUGGGUUGAACAAAUUCCAUGGACAAUAUGCAUUGAGGGAGAGAGCAAGAAAAAUAGAUCAAGGCAUCUUGACUAUAAGGUACUGAACUAAGAGUGUUUGAU